UCUAUUUUAAGGUCAUGUAAACAAACUUUAUAUAAAUUUUACAAAAAUGAAUUCUAUAAGAGAAAACUUCAGAUCAAUCAUGGUUAUUGCAACAUUUGUAGGUGGCAUUGUUGCUGCCAGCUACCCAAUAAUAAUAUCACCGUACUUGAAUCCAGCACCUUGGAAGAAAGAGCAAAGUAUUGGCAGACGUGGUAUUGACAGAGAAGCUAUUCAGCCUGGAGGAAUGAAAGUAUGGACAGACCCUUUUGAUCGGAAGA
rnacentral:sRNA from 1 species